GGAGUUAUGAAAUGGGAUGGCAGCAAACCCAUUCCUUGACCAGCUUCAAAGGAAGGUCCGGCUAACUUCGUGCCAGCAGCAGCGGUAAUACGGAGGGACCCAGCGUUGUUCGGAAUUACUGGGCAUAAAGGGCGUCUAGGCUGGCCGAUAAGUCGGGUAUGAAAGCCCUGGGCUCAACUCAGGAAUUGUGCCCGAUACUGUCGGUCUUGAGUGCAGAAGGGGAGAGUG
rnacentral:rRNA from 1 species